CGAAGUUAGAGAGAGCUUGCUUUUUCUGACUUAGUGGCGAACGGGUGAGUAACGCGUGAGGAACCUGCCUCAAAGAGGGGGACAACAGUUGGAAACGACUGCUAAUACCGCAUAAGCCCACAGCUCCGCAUGGAGCAGGGGGAAAAGGAGCAAUCCGCUUUGAGAUGGCCUCGCGUCCGAUUAGCUAGUUGGUGAGGUAACGGCCCACCAAGGCGACGAUCGGUAGCCGGACUGAGAGGUUGAUCGGCCACAUUGGGACUGAGACACGGCCCAGACUCCUACGGGAGGCAGCAGUGGGGAAUAUUGCACAAUGGGGGAAACCCUGAUGCAGCGACGCCGCGUGGAGGAAGAAGGUCUUCGGAUUGUAAACUCCUGUUGUUGGGGAAGAUAAUGACGGUACCCAACAAGGAAGUGACGGCUAACUACGUGCCAGCAGCCGCGGUAAAACGUAGGUCACAAGCGUUGUCCGG
rnacentral:rRNA from 1 species